AACGCACAUUGCGCCCCUCGGUACUCCGGGGGGCAUGCCUGUCCGAGCGUCAUUGAAGACUAUCAAGCCCGGCUUGGUCUUGGGUGAGGUCUGGGGACCCGCCCGCAACCCGUCGGCGGUGCCGGUUCGGCCCUGAGCGUAGCAAGACACUCGCUCGGGGGCCGCGGCGGCGCCCGCCAGCAGAUUCUACCAUAUUUUGACCUCGGAUCAGGUAGGGAUACCCGCUGAACUUAA
rnacentral:misc_RNA from 1 species